GAUGAACGCUGGCGGCGUGCCUAAUACAUGCAAGUCGAGCGAACAGACGAGGAUCUUGCUCCUCUGACGUUAGCGGCGGACGGGUGAGUAACACGUGGAUAACCUACCUCUAAGACUGGGAUAACUUCGGGAAACCGGAGCUAAUACCGGAUAAUAUAUUUAACCGCAUGGUUCAAUAGUGAAAGACGGUUUUGCUGUCACUUAUAGAUGGAUCCGCGCCGCAUUAGCUAGUUGGUAAGGUAACGGCUUACCAAGGCGACGAUGCGUAGCCGACCUGAGAGGGUGAUCGGCCACACUGGAACUGAGACACGGUCCAGACUCCUACGGGAGGCAGCAGUAGGGAAUCUUCCGAAAUGGGCGAAAGCCUGACGGAGCAACGCCGCGUGAGUGAUGAAGGUCUGCGGAUCGUAAAACGCUGUUAUUAGGGAAGAACAAAUGUGUAAGUAACGAUGCACGUCUUGACGGUACCUAAUCAGAAAGCCACGGCUAACUACGUG
rnacentral:rRNA from 1 species